AGCCUCUCAGGGUCGCACCUGGAGAGCUUCCAGGACUCUACCAGUCUCGGCUACGGGAGGGAGAGUCAAGCAGAGGCAUACCCAUUCCAUUCCUAGCUUGGCCAGUAGCUAGCGAGUGGAAGGCCAUCUGCUACAAGU